UACGGAGGGGGCAAGUGUUGUUCGGAAUUACUGGGCGUAAAGGGCGCGCAGGCGGCUUGGCAAGUCGGGUGUGAAAUACCUCAGCUUAACUGAGGAACGGCGCUCGAAACUACCUCGCUUGAGGGCGGGAGAGGGAAGUGGAACUCUCGGUGUAGGGGUGAAAUCUGUAGAUAUCGAGAGGAACACCGGUGGCGAAGGCGGCUUCCUGGCCAGUACCUGACGCUGAGGCGCGAAAGCGUGGGGAGCAAACAGG
rnacentral:rRNA from 1 species